UAUAGCCUACGGGGGGCAGCAGUGAGGAAUAUUGGUCAAUGGGCGGGAGCCUGAACCAGCCAAGCCGCGUGAGGGAAGAAGGUACAGCGUAUCGUAAACCUCUUUUGUCAGGGAACAAAGGCGGGGACUAGUCCCCGGAUGAGGGUACCUGAAGAAAAAGCAUCGGCUAACUCCGUGCCAGCAGCCGCGGUAAUACGUAGGGGGCAAGCGUUAUCCGGAUUUACUGGGUGUAAAGGGAGCGUAGACGGCAGCACAAGUCUGGAGUGAAAUGCCGGGGCUUAACCCCGGAACUGCUUUGGAAACUG
rnacentral:rRNA from 1 species